UACGGAGGGUGCGAGCGUUGUUCGGAAUCACUGGGCGUAAAGCGCGUGUAGGCGGCCCACUAAGUCUGAUGUGAAAGCCCGGGGCUCACCCCCGGAAGUGCAUUGGAAACUGGUGGACUAGAGUCCCGGAGAGGAGAGUGGAAUUCCUGGUGUAGCGGUGAAAUGCGCAGAUAUCAGGAGGAACACCAAUUGCGAAGGCAGCUCGCUGGGACGUUACUGACGCUGAGACGCGAAAGCGUGGGGAGCAAACAGG
rnacentral:rRNA from 1 species